rnacentral:rRNA from 1 species
CCUUACCUGGGUUUGACAUACACCCUGCCGCUCCAGAGAUGGGGCUUCUUUUGGGGGUGUACAGGUGGUGCAUGGCUGUCGUCAGCUCGUGUCGAGAGAUGUUGGGUUAAGUCCCGCAACGAGCGCAACCCUCGUCCUAUGUUGCCAGCACGUAAUGGUGGGGACUCAUAGGAGACUGCCGGGGUCAACUCGGAGGAAGGUGGGGAUGACGUCAAGUCAUCAUGCCCCUUAUGUCCAGGGCUUCACGCAUGCUACAAUGGCCGGUACAAAGGGCUGCGAUCCCGUAAGGGGGAGCGAAUCCCAAAAAGCCGGUCUCAGUUCGGAUUGUGGUCUGCAACUCGACCCCAUGAAGUCGGAGUCGCUAGUAAUCGCAGAUCAGCAACGCUGCGGUGAUUACGUUCCCGGGCCUUGUACACACCGCCCGUCACGUCACGAAANUCGGCAACACCCGAAGCCGGUGGCCCAACCCUUGUGGAGGGAGCCGUCGAAGGUGGGGCUGGCGAUUGGGACGAAGUCGUAACAAGGUAGCCG